GAAGGAGUGAAGGCAGAAGACAGCAAGACCAGUAAGAGGUGGUUUAAAUAAGAGACAUAAAGUAGUGGUGUGGGAACUAUUUCACGAAGAAGAUGAAGGAAGGACGGUUGGCAGGCAGAAGGCAGGACAGAUCAUACUACUAGUUAUUGAAUAACUGCUAGUUAUUGAAACUGUACUGCCUGCCAGGCUGUAUGCUAGGCACUUUCUCAUUUUACACCCCUCUCCCAAAAUGUCAAGGAGAUGUUAAGUAGAUGAAAGACCAAGAAAAGCGAGGGAGAAAAUUCAAUAUAUUUGAGAACAAAGGCAGCCAUUAACCUGUCCAUCUUCAGAACCUGAAUCGGUAGCCAAAUCUCAGCAGACAGAGCUACGUAAUGCCAGAUAAAUCUUCUUGCUGAAUGAGAGACCCAUCCUACCAGCAUAAACAACAUUUGAACACUCUAGCCCCCAGCCUUACCAGCCAGCUCUCCAUUCUCUACACACAGAGUCUUUGUUGGGACACUCCAGGCCAGUUAUUUCACCAUCCUGAGUCUGGUCCCUCUCUGAGGCCCAGGGACAUAUAUUCAGUUCAGGUUUGAAUUAAGGAAAGAUACUACUACCUUGAUGGGGGAUCAGGACCACAGGACCAAAUUGAACCAGGCAAGACUGAAGGGGCCAAGGGAUAGAGGAUCCCCCUCCCGAAGGAGCCAACUGGAAGGCAACAAUUGGAUGGCCUGUUAAAGAAGAAAGAAGCUUAGGACAGGGAGAAUGCCACUUUCCAGUAUUACAAAAAUAUCCUUUAGGCAAGGAAAACUCAAGAUGCCAGAGAUCCCUGACACCUGGCUCAUAUGGUAGGCUGCGUGAUGAUGGAGCCGAGAGCUGAACCGCCCAAGGACAGAGGGCCUCAGCAGGAACUUUGGGAAUCAGCAUAUUGAUACCUAAGUGGAGACCUCUUUCCAGACCCAGAAACUGGAGCAUGCAAGGCCUUGGGGAAAUGACCAGCAAGUUCAUAGCCCAAGGUUUCUCUGACUGGUUGGAGAGUCUAAUGUAUUCCGUCAUGCCGUC
rnacentral:lncRNA from 1 species